rnacentral:rRNA from 1 species
UACGUAGGGCGCAAGCGUUGUCCGGAAUUAUUGGGCGUAAAGAGCUCGUAGGCGGCCAACUAAGUCAGACGUGAAAUCCCUCGGCUUAACCGGGGAACUGCGUCUGAUACUGGAUGGCUUGAGUUUGGGAGAGGGAUGCGGAAUUCCAGGUGUAGCGGUGAAAUGCGUAGAUAUCUGGAGGAACACCGGUGGCGAAGGCGGCAUCCUGGACCAACACUGACGCUGAGGAGCGAAAGCCAGGGGAGCAAACGGG